rnacentral:lncRNA from 1 species
CAAUCUAUUAUUGAGACAUAUUUUGAGCAAAAAUUCCUCACUUAGGGGCCGUUUGGUUGGAUAUAGCUACAAAAGCAGUAUAAUUGAAAGUAUAUGCAGUUGCAAAUACUGCAGUCAUAACUACACAUAAUCUAUUUGAUUUUAUACAGUUACAACUGCUACAAUUACAUUUCUUCAGUUUGGUAGUCUAUAGUUGAAAUUUGUAUUUGUAAAUUCUGUCAAUUUUUAGACCUCUUCUAAACAUAAUGUACUGUUCUAAUUAUUAAUUAAGACUUUUAUAUCAAUGUAUAAUUUAUAUAUUAUAAAAUUAUAUAUAAAUUUAAUGAAUUUUAAAUAAAAUAUAUUAUAGAUUUGGUCAAAACAACAAUUAAGACAUUAUAAAACUAGCAGACUAGAAAAAAAGAAGCGUAUGAAAAAAAUUUAUUGAUCCUAACAGAUAUUAUUAAUUCUUAGCAUAUUACAUGAAUAGGUAUUCUUG